rnacentral:rRNA from 1 species
AUGAGAGUUUGAUCCUGGCUCAGGACGAACGCUGGCGGCGUGCCUAAUACAUGCAAGUCGAACGCUUCUUUUUCCACCGGGGCUUGCUCCACCGGAAAAAGAGGAGUGGCGAACGGGUGAGACACACGUGGGUAACCUGCCCAUCAGAAGGGGAUAACACUUGGAAACAGGUGCUAAUACCGUAUAACAAUCAAAACCGCAUGGUUUUUAUUUGAAAGGCGCUUUCGGGUGUCGCUGAUGGAUGGACCCGCGGUGCAUUAGC